rnacentral:rRNA from 1 species
UGGGGAAUAUUGCACAAUGGGCGCAAGCCUGAUGCAGCGACGCCGCGUGGGGGAUGACGGCCUUCGGGUUGUAAACCUCUUUCAGCAGGGACGAAGCGAAAGUGACGGUACCUGCAGAAGAAGCACCGGCCAACUACGUGCCAGCAGCCGCGGUAAUACGUAGGGUGCGAGCGUUGUCCGGAAUUACUGGGCGUAAAGAGCUCGUAGGUGGUUUGUCGCGUUGUUCGUGAAAACCGGGGGCUUAACCCUCGGCGUGCGGGCGAUACGGGCAGACUAGAGUACUGCAGGGGAGACUGGAAUUCCUGGUGUAGCGGUGGAAUGCGCAGAUAUCAGGAGGAACACCGGUGGCGAAGGCGGGUCUCUGGGCAGUAACUGACGCUGAGGAGCGAAAGCGUGGGGAGCGAACAGGAUUAGAUACCCUGGUAGUCCACGCCGUAAACGGUGGGUACUAGGUGUGGGUUUCCUUCCUUGGGAUCCGUGCCGUAGCUAACGCAUUAAGUACCCCGCCUGGGG